rnacentral:rRNA from 1 species
AACGAACGCUGGCGGCAGGCUUAACACAUGCAAGUCGCGCGCCCCGCAAGGGGAGCGGCAGACGGGUGAGUAACGCGUGGGAACGUACCCUUUUCUACGGAAUAACGCAUGGAAACGUGUGCUAAUAACGUAUGUGUCAUUCGGGGGAAGGAGUUCUCGGAAAAGGAUCGGCCCGCGUUGGAGUAGCUAGUUGGUGGGGUAAAGGCCUACCAAGGCGACGAUCCAUAGAUGGUCUGAGAGGAUGAUCAGCCAGAUUGGGACUGAGACACGGCCCAAACUCCUACGGGAGGCAGCAGUGGGGAAUAUUGGACAAUGGGCGCAAGCCUGAUCCAGCCAUGCCGCGUGAGUGAUGAAGGCCCUAGGGUUGUAAAGCUCUUUCACCGGUGAAGAUAAUGACGGUAACCGGAGAAGAAGCCCCGGCUAACUUCGUGCCAGCAGCCGCAGUAACAC